CUGGGAGCCUGUCACACCUGCGGGACCCAGUGGCCACCUGCGGCUGAAGCAGCCUGCAAUGCGGGGCACGGGCACUCGUUGUCCGUGUUGAUGCCUUUGGCACAGAUAAUCUCACAGUGUCGCUGCAGAGCCUCCAGCUGGAAAAAUUUAGCCGCCGACAGAAGCUAAAAAACCGUAAAAGAGCCCGUUAGAGGUUGGGAGGUGGAAGCCCUUCUCACACCAGACAUGAUGUCAUGCCCGUCGCCUCCCCAGCGUCUGGGAGGGCAGGGAUCGCCGUCUGUUGACAUCCCAGCCGGGCAAGUGACUUGGCAGAAGUGUGCUGAGAGACGGCAGGCUUGGGGGAGGAGAAGAAAGAGCUAAAACACCCGUCAAAGGGACUGCCUUUGGGGAAA